GAGGUACUAGUAAAAUAUUACAUAACUUUGUCAAAGUUAAAUUACAAGUGAAAGCCUUGUGUACCUUU
rnacentral:tRNA from 1 species